AGAGUUUGAUCCUGGCUCAGGAUGAACGCUGGCGGCGUGCUUAACACAUGCAAGUCGAACGAAGCACUUUAUUUGAUUUCCUUCGGGACUGAUUAUUUUGUGACUGAGUGGCGGACGGGUGAGUAACGCGUGGGUAACCUGCCUUGUACAGGGGGAUAACAGUUGGAAACGGCUGCUAAUACCGCAUAAGCGCACAGCAUCGCAUGAUGCAGUGUGAAAAACUCCGGUGGUAUAAGAUGGACCCGCGUUGGAUUAGCCAGUUGGUGAGGUAACGGCCCACCAAGGCGACGAUCCAUAGCCGACCUGAGAGGGUGACCGGCCACAUUGGGACUGAGACACGGCCCAAACUCCUACGGGAGGCAGCAGUGGGGAAUAUUGCACAAUGGGCGAAAGCCUGAUGCAGCGACGCCGCGUGAGCGAAGAAGUAUUUCGGUAUGUAAAGCUCUAUCAGCAGGGAAGAUAAUGACGGUACCUGACUAAGAAGCACCGGCUAAAUACGUGCCAGCAGCCGCGGUAAUACGUAUGGUGCAAGCGUUAUCCGGAUUUACUGGGUGUAAAGGGAGCGCAGGCGGUGCGGCAAGUCUGAUGUGAAAGCCCGGGGCUCAACCCCGGUACUGCAUUGGAAACUGUCGUACUAGAGUGUCGGAGGGGUAAGCGGAAUUCCUAGUGUAGCGGUGAAAUGCGUAGAUAUUAGGAGGAACACCAGUGGCGAAGGCGGCUUACUGGACGAUAACUGACGCUGAGGCUCGAAAGCGUGGGGAGCAAACAGGAUUAGAUACCCUGGUAGUCCACGCCGUAAACGAUG
rnacentral:rRNA from 1 species